rnacentral:lncRNA from 1 species
AUAACCCUAUCCAAAAUAACGCACCUCCGAGACAAACUGGUUACCAAGCCCCAAGAUCAAAUCAACCUAUGUAACCUUUACCACCCAAGCCGAGCCUUGAGAAAAUUAUGGAAAAUUUUAUCACUGCUCAAACCCAACAAAACAAGGAGUUCAUGAACCAAAACAUUCACGUUAAUGAACUGAUUUCCCAGUUAGGAAC